GGCCCUAUAGCUCAAUUGGAUAGAGCAACGCCCUUCUAAGGCGUGGGUUGGCGGUUCGAUUCCGUCUAGGGUCA
rnacentral:tRNA from 1 species